rnacentral:rRNA from 1 species
UAAGGAGGGGACUAGCGUUGUUCGGAAUUACUGGGCGUAAAGCGCACGUAGGCGGAUUUGUAAGUCAGGGGUGAAAUCCCGAGGCUCAACAUCGGAACUGCCUUUGAUACUGCAAAUCUCGAGUCCGGAAGAGGUGAGUGGAAUUCCUAGUGUAGAGGUGAAAUUCGUAGAUAUUAGGAAGAACACCAGUGGCGAAGGCGGCUCACUGGUCCGGUACUGAUGCUGAGGUGCGAAAGCGUGGGGAGCAAACAGG